rnacentral:rRNA from 1 species
ACGGGAGGCAGCAGUGGGGAAUAUUGCACAAUGGGGGAAACCCUGAUGCAGCGACGCCGCGUGAGUGAAGAAGUAUCUCGGUAUGUAAAGCUCUAUCAGCAGGGAAGAAAAUGACGGUACCUGACUAAGAAGCCCCGGCUAACUACGUGCCAGCAGCCGCGGUAAUACGUAGGGGGCAAGCGUUAUCCGGAUUUACUGGGUGUAAAGGGAGCGUAGACGGCGAUGCAAGUCUGAAGUGAAAGGCGGGGGCUCAACCCUUGGACUGCUUUGGAAACUGUAUUGCUAGAGUGCAGGAGAGGUAAGUGGAAUUCCUAGUGUAGCGGUGAAAUGCGUAGAUAUUAGGAGGAACACCAGUGGCGAAGGCGGCUUACUGGACGAUAACUGACGUUGAGGCUCGAAAGCGUGGGGAGCAAACAGGAUUAGAUACCCUGGUA